CAAACUGCGAUAAGUAGUGUGAAUUGCAUUUAGUGAAUCAUCGAAUCUUUGAACGCACCUUGCACUCACUGGUAUUCCGGUGAGUACGCCUGUUUCAGUAUCAUUGAAAACACACAAUCAAAACAUUUUCUUUGGUUUGAUUGGCUUUGGGUCUAUCAAAAAGUUUGGCUUGUUUCUUACAAGCCAAGCGGCCUGAAAUAUAUUGUCUGGCUAAUUGCAUCGUUGAUGAUCGCUAUUAGACUUUGGCUUUUUUAAAUGAACUGGAGGUUGAUUAACCAGUUUUAGCUUUAGUCAAAUGGUCAUUGUAAAAAAAAUCUCGAUCUUGGCUAGGUGUUUAUAGCCGAAAAUUUUUUUUUGGCUAUAACCGAAACCAAUAUAAUCACAUUUAGUUAUCGAUCUGAAAUCAGGUGGGACUACCCGCUGAACUUAAGC
rnacentral:misc_RNA from 1 species